AUUGAACGCUGGCGGCAUGCCUUACACAUGCAAGUCGAACGGUAACGGGCCUUCGGGUGCCGCCGAGUGGCGAGCGGGUGAGUAAUACAUCGGAACGUGCCCGAUCGUGGGGGAUAACGAGGCGAAAGCUUUGCUAAUACCGCAUACGAUCUACGGAUGAAAGCAGGGGACCGCAAGGCCUUGCGCGGACGGAGCGGCCGAUGGCAGAUUAGGUAGUUGGUGGGAUAAAAGCUUACCAAGCCGACGAUCUGUAGCUGGUCUGAGAGGAUGAUCAGCCACACUGGGACUGAGACACGGCCCAGACUCCUACGGGAGGCAGCAGUGGGGAAUUUUGGACAAUGGGCGCAAGCCUGAUCCAGCCAUGCCGCGUGCAGGAUGAAGGCCUUCGGGUUGUAAACUGCUUUUGUACGGAACGAAAAGCCUUCUUUUAAUACAGGAGGGUCAUGACGGUACCGUAAGAAUAAGCACCGGCUAACUACGUG
rnacentral:rRNA from 1 species